rnacentral:ncRNA from 1 species
GUUAAAACGAGGAAGGGAUUACGGUGGAUACCUAGGCAUCCAGAGAUGAGGAAGGGCGUGGUAAGCGAAAAAAUGAUUCGGGGAGUUGAAAAUAAGCAUAGAUCCAGAGAUUCCUGAAUAGGUUAACCUUUUUAACUGUUGUUGAAUCCAUGGGAAGGCAAGAGAGAACCUGGUGAACUGAAACAUCUUAGUAGCCAGAGGAAUAGAAAGAAAAAUCGAUUCCCAUAGUAGCGGUGAGUGAAAUGGGAGAAACCUAAACCAUGAAAACGGGGUUGUGUGAGAGCACAAUAUAAGCUCUGUGCUGCUAGGCGAAGCGGUUGAGUCUUGCACCCUAGAUGGUGAGAGUCCAGUAGCCAAAAGCAUCAUUGGGUUACGCUCUAACCCGAGUAGCAUGGGGCACGUGGAAUCCCGUGUGAAUCCGCAAGGACCACCUUGCAAGGCUAAAUAAUCCUAGGUGACUGAUAGAGAAGUAGUACCAUGAGGGAAAGGUGAAAAGAACCCCCAUCGGGGAGUGAAAUAGAACAUGAAACUGUAAGCUCCCAAGCAGUGGGAGGAAAAUGAUAUCUCUAACUGCGUGCCUAUUGAAGAAUGAGCUGGCGACUUAUAGGCAGUGGAUUGGUUAAGGGAACCCACUGGAGCCAUAGCGAGAGCGAGUCUUCAUGGGGUAAUUGUCACUGCUUAUGGACCCAAACUUGGGUGAUCUAUCCAUGACUAGGAUCAAGCUUGGGUGAAACUAAGUGAAGGUCUGAACCGACUGAUGUUGAAAAAUCAGCGGAUGAGUC